ensembl:lncRNA
CAAGCGCUGUUGGAAUGCUAAUGGUUAGCUUUAGCAUGGUAUAUUAGUCUUUCAUGGUUUCCACUAACCCAAACUUUAGAAUUUCUCAUUUAGAGUGAGUCUGGCAUUUCAAAAAAUCAGCAUACAUGAAAACAAUGUCAGUUUAUGAAAAAGGAAGAAAGAAACGAAUCAGCCGUGGUUGACAUUUGAAACUCUGACUUGUCAGACGGUGAAUUAUGUUCAAGCCCUGUUAGAAGAAGCGCACAGAUGCCAGAGAAGCUGUGGGUGGAUUUCAGCCCGGGUUUUGGUGCAACUCCCCUCCGUUUUGCUAUCGAGUCCAAUACAGCGGCUGAGCGGAUGGGCUGAAGUGAAGCUGGUCGUCUCUGCUCGGCGUGAGUGAUGAGCAGUAGAAUAGACAGGCUGUCACAGCACACCUGUAGGCCUGGCAGCCGAGUCCAUCAUUGGGCUGAGCCUUCACAGAGAUUAAAAACA